UUAGCCGUGAACCCCAUGAAAUUUAGUAUUUGGCGGGACAUUAUCCUUUAAAUAGACUGGACUAGAUAUGCCUUGCGCACACCACCUUACGACUUUAUAGACGAAUCUAUGUCUGAAUUAUUUUCUUGCUAGAAAUUUAUGCUCGAUCGAGCUUCUUCCGCCAGACGAUUUUACCUGGUGAUGUCAUAACCCGGAAGUACAAUGCCCGAGGUUCACUUGUCUUCACUCGCCUGGAUGUGAUAUUCCCAGCGCAGAGCUUUCGUCCCAUGGUUGUGCCGUAAACCGCAAAGACGAUGAUUUUUGUUAUCCUCUGAAGUCAGCUCAGGGAUGCAAUCACCUACCACCAUAGGGAGCCAACACGGAAUCAACGUAUUCACGGUUUAAAGGGACUGAAUUUAGAGAUCUGUUUUGUUUGUGCUACUUAUAAGUUCACAAUUACAUUAAAGACCUGUGUCACGUCAGAUUAGAAUGGACUAUAAGAACUUUUGUAUCUAGAGAUACUGAACUUUUUUUUUCUUUCUUAUAAUCAGUUUUUUUUUCUUUUCAUAUCUAUUCAUUGUUAAUAAUCAUCUUUUGUAAAUAAAUUUGUAAAUAU